AUUGAACGCUGGCGGCAGGCCUAACACAUGCAAGUCGAACGAGUGGCGGAAGGGUGAGGAAUGUCUGGGAAACUGCCUGAUGGAGGGGGAUAACUACUGGAAACGGUAGAUAAUACCGCAUACCAUCGGAUGUGCCCAGAUGGGAUUAGGGAGUAGGUGGGGUAAAGGCUCACCUAGGCGACGAUCACUAGCUGGUCUGCAAGGAUGACCGGCCACACUGGAACUGAGACACGGUCCAGACUCCUACGGGAGGCAGCAGUGGGGAAUAUUUCACAAUGGGCGCAAGCCUGAUGCAGCCAUGCCGCGUGUAUGAAGAAGGCCUUCGGGUUGUAAAGUACUUUCAGCUGUGAGGCGUUACCCGCAGAAGAAGCACCGGCUAACUCCGUGCCAGCAGCCGCGGUAAUUC
rnacentral:rRNA from 1 species